rnacentral:snRNA from 1 species
GUGCCAAAUUAUCUGCUUUUACA